rnacentral:lncRNA from 1 species
GCAAAUUUGGAGUAAGAAUCAACGUUGUCGGCAUUACGGUAUAGUAGUUUCUCAAAAAAAAUUCAAAAAAAAUUAGUUUCCAUUCAAACUCAAAAGAUUGGAUAUCAAGUUGUGAAAAAAAAAUUUCGUGAAAAAAAAAGAAACUAGUUUUGAAAUUUUGUUUUCGUUUGCUGCCCAAAUUUCUGUCAUUACUACCUUCUACUUUUCCGCCACACCCAAC